GCAUCAAUGGGGUAGUGGUGAUCUGGGUCGUUGCCAUAUCCCAUACAUGCAUAUGUAUCGACCCGCCGGGGGUUCAAUUUCCCCUUGAUGCA